CUUACUAGAUCUCGUUCAAACCAAUUUUCGGUGGAAGUUUACAUGGUAAUGUACAUCAUAUAUUUUUUUUAGUUUUAUCAUUCUCUUAUUUUAGAAGUUACAGGGGGGGGGGACACACAUUUUACCACUUUGGAAGUGUCUCUCGCGCAAACUAUUUAGUUUAGAAAAAAAUGAUAUUAUAAACCUCAAUAUCAUUUUUGAAGACCUAUCCAUAGAUACCCCACACGUAUGGGUUUGAUGAAAAAAAAUUUUUUGAGCGAUUUAUGACGUAUAAAAAAAAAACUACUUACUAGAUCUCGUUCAAACCAAUUUUCGGUGGAAGUUUACAUGGCAAUGUACAUCAUAUAUUUUUUUUAGUUUUAUCAUUCUCUUAUUUUAGAAGUUACGGGGGGGGGGGGGG